GACGAAUGCUGGCGGCGUGCUUAACACAUGCAAGUCGAACGGAAAGGCCCUGCUUGCAGGGUACUCGAGUGGCGAACGGGUGAGUAACACGUGGGUGAUCUGCCCUGCACUUCGGGAUAAGCCUGGGAAACUGGGUCUAAUACCGGAUAGGAGCCAUUUUUAGUGUGAUGGUUGGAAAGUUUUUUCGGUGUAGGAUGAGCUCGCGGCCUAUCAGCUUGUUGGUGGGGUAAUGGCCUACCAAGGCGGCGACGGGUAGCCGGCCUGAGAGGGUGGACGGCCACAUUGGGACUGAGAUACGGCCCAGACUCCUACGGGAGGCAGCAGUGGGGAAUAUUGCACAAUGGGCGCAAGCCUGAUGCAGCGACGCCGCGUGGGGGAUGACGGCCUUCGGGUUGUAAACUCCUUUCGCUAGGGACGAAGCUUUUGUGACGGUACCUAGAUAAGAAGCACCGGCUAACUACGU
rnacentral:rRNA from 1 species